rnacentral:rRNA from 1 species
AUACGGAGGGUGCAAGCGUUAAUCGGAAUUACUGGGCGUAAAGCGCACGCAGGCGGUCAAUUAAGUCAGAUGUGAAAGCCCCGAGCUUAACUUGGGAAUUGCAUCUGAAACUGGUUGGCUAGAGUCUUGUAGAGGGGGGUAGAAUUCCACGUGUAGCGGUGAAAUGCGUAGAGAUGUGGAGGAAUACCGGUGGCGAAGGCGGCCCCCUGGACAAAGACUGACGCUCAGGUGCGAAAGCGUGGGGAGCAAACAGGAUUAGAUACCCUGGUAGUCCACGCUGUAAACGAUGUCGAUUUAGAGGUUGUGGUCUUGAACUGUGGCUUCUGGAGCUAACGCGUUAAAUCGACCGCCUGGGAGUACGGCCGCAAGGUUAAAACUCAAAUGAAUUGACGGGG